GACGAACGCUGGCGGCGUGCCUAAUACAUGCAAGUAGAACGCACAGUUUAUACCGUAGCUUGCUACACCAUAGCCUGUGAGUUGCGAACGGGUGAGUAACGCGUAGGUAACCUGCCUGGUAGCGGGUGAUAACUAUUGGAAACGAUAGCUAAUACCGCAUAAUAUUAAUUAUUGCAUGAUAAUUAAUUGAAAGGUGCAAUUGCACCACUACCAGAUGGACCUGCGUUGUAUUAGCUAGUAGGUGAGGUAACGGCCCACCUAGGCGACGAUACAUAGCCGACCUGGGAGGGGGGUCGGCCACACUGGGACGGAGACAAGGCCCAGACUCCCUCGGGAGGGAGCAGUAGGGAAUCUUCGGCAAUGGACGGAAGGCUGAACGGGCAACGCCGCGUGAGGGAAGGAGGGUUUCGGAUCGUAAGGCUCUGUUGUAAGAGAAGAACGGGAGGGAGAGUGGAAAGUUCACACUGUGACGGUAUCUUACCAGAAAGGGACGGCUAACUACGUG
rnacentral:rRNA from 1 species